GACGAACGCUGGCGGCGUGCUUAACACAUGCAAGUCGAACGGAAAGGCCCUGCUUUUGUGGGGUGCUCGAGUGGCGAACGGGUGAGUAACACGUGAGUAACCUGCCCUUGACUUUGGGAUAACUUCAGGAAACUGGGGCUAAUACCGGAUAGGAGCUCCUGCUUCAUGGUGGGGGUUGGAAAGUUUCGGCGGUUGGGGAUGGACUCGCGGCUUAUCAGCUUGUUGGUGGGGUAGUGGCUUACCAUGGCUUUGACGGGUAGCCGGCCUGAGAGGGUGACCGGCCACAUUGGGACUGAGAUACGGCCCAGACUCCUACGGGAGGCAGCAGUGGGGAAUAUUGCACAAUGGGCGGAAGCCUGAUGCAGCAACGCCGCGUGCGGGAUGACGGCCUUCGGGUUGUAAACCGCUUUCGCCUGUGACGAAGCGUGAGUGACGGUAAUGGGUAAAGAAGCACCGGCUAACUACGUG
rnacentral:rRNA from 1 species